rnacentral:rRNA from 1 species
AGUGAACGCUGGCGGUAGGCCUAACACAUGCAAGUCGAACGGCAGCACAGUAAGAGCUUGCUCUUACGGGUGGCGAGUGGCGGACGGGUGAGGAAUACAUCGGAAUCUACUUUUUCGUGGGGGAUAACGUAGGGAAACUUACGCUAAUACCGCAUACGACCUACGGGUGAAAGCAGGGGAUCUUCGGACCUUGCGCGAUUGAAUGAGCCGACGUCGGAUUAGCUAGUUGGCGGGGUAAAGGCCCACCAAGGCGAUGAUCCGUAGCUGGUCUGAGAGGAUGAUCAGCCACACUGGAACUGAGACACGGUCCAGACUCCUACGGGAGGCAGCAGUGGGGAAUAUUGGACAAUGGGCGCAAGCCUGAUCCAGCCAUACCGCGUGGGUGAAGAAGGCCUUCGGGUUGUAAAGCCCUUUUGUUGGGAAAGAAAAGCAGCAGGUUAAUACCCCGCUGUUCUGACGGUACCCAAAGAAUAAGCACCGGCUAACUUCGUG